rnacentral:rRNA from 1 species
CAUUAUUGAAUAAGUAUGGUGGGUUGUAGCUGGCUUCUUGAAGCAUGUGCACACCUGCUGUAAUUACCUAUCUCCCUGUGCACCUUUUGUAGUCCUGUUGAGAGCGUGGCUGGGCCUUCAUGUGUGAAGUGAAGUGAUUCCUUCCUCAAGGGAGCUUUAGACCAUCUCUCCUCGGUCUAUGUCUUUUCAUACACCAUGUAGUAUGUUACAGAAUGUAAUYAAUAGGCCUUUGUGUCUAUAAAACACUAUACAACUUUCAGCAACGGAUCUCUUGGCUCUCGCAUCGAUGAAGAACGCAGCGAAAUGCGAUAAGUAAUGUGAAUUGCAGAAUUCAGUGAAUCAUCGAAUCUUUGAACGCACCUUGCACUCCUUGGUAUUCCGAGGAGCAUGCCUGUUUGAGUGUCAUCAAAUUCUCAAUCCCAUCCAGCUUUUAUAGGCUGGUUGUGGCUUGGAUAUUGGGGGUUUCUGCAGGCCCAUUAUUGAGGUCAGCUCCCCUGAAAUGCAUUAGCAGAACCACUUGCAGUCUGUUCACUGGUGUGAUAAUUAUCUACACCAAGGCUGCUGUCUGUCUUGUUCAGCUUCUAACCGUCUCUCUGUAGACAACUCUUGAAUGUUUGACCUCAAAUCAGGUAGGACUACCCGCUGAACUUAAGCAUAUCAAUAAGCGGAGGAAAAGAAACUAACAAGGAUUCCCCUAGUAACUGCGAGUGAAGCGGGAACAGCUCAAAUUUAAAAUCUGGCGGUCCUUGGCCCUCCGAGUUGUAAUCUAGAGAAGUGUUACCCGCGCUGGACCAUGUACAAGUCUCCUGGAAUGGAGCGUCAUAGAGGGUGAGAAUCCCGUCUCUGACAUGGACUACCAGGGCUUUGUGGUAUGCUCUCAAAGAGUCGAGUUGUUUGGGAAUGCAGCUCAAAAUGGGUGGUAAAUUCCAUCUAAAGCUAAAUAUUGGCGAGAGACCGAUAGCGAACAAGUACCGUGAGGGAAAGAUGAAAAGAACUUUGGAAAGAGAGUUAAACAGUACGUGAAAUUGCUGAAAGGGAAACGCUUGAAGUCAGUCGCGUUGGCUGGGGAUCAGCCUCACAUUUGUGUGGUGUACUUCCCAGUUGACGGGUCAGCAUGAAUUUUGACCGCUGGAGAAAGGCUUGGGGAAUGUGACAGCUCUGGCUGUGUUAUAGCCCCUUGUCAUAUACAACGGUUGGGAUUGAGGAACUCAGCAUGCCGCAAGGCCGGGUUUCGACCACGUUCAUGCUUAGGAUGCUGGCAUAAUGGCUUUAAGCGACCCGUCUUGAAACACGGACCAAGGAGUCUAACAUGCCUGCGAGUGUUUGGGUGGAAAACCCAAGUGCACAAUGAAAGUGAAAGUUGAGAUCCCUGUCGUGGGGAGCAUCGACGCCCGGACCAGAACUUUUGGGACGGAUCCGCGGUAGAGCAUGUAUGUUGGGACCCGAAAGA